rnacentral:tRNA from 1 species
GGGGGAUAAGCCCAGCUAGGAUAGGGCGCCGGCCUUCGGAGCCGGAGGCCGAGGGUUCAAAACCGAGAAGCAGUGAAACUCCCUCCAGACCCGCCA